rnacentral:lncRNA from 1 species
AAUAGAAGCAUAAAAAUAGGAAUAAAAAUAGCUCAUCCUUGUUAGGAUUUGGUUAGAUUUGUAGUUAAAUCAUAUUUGGAUAAGAAUUAAUAUUUAAAUCUGUUUGAGAUAAAUUAAGAUUUAAAUAUUAAUUAGAGGAUAAACCUAACUAGAUUAGGAUUAAUAUUUAAAUCUAUUAGAGAUUGAUUAAGAUAGAUUUAGAUAUUAAUUAAAGUAUGAAUCCUAAAUAUAUUAGGAUUGGGGUACGUUUUAAGUUGAGCAUUAUAAAUAGGCAUUGUGGCUCUCCUUUUUGAAAGUAGUACCGCUGGACUCGUACCAGAGAAAGAAAAAGAGAGAGAGAGUUAUUUUAGUGCACCUUGUGCACGGGUGCACGCGGAGAGGUCUUCUUUGUGGGUUUAUAGAAGACGAGAGAAUGGUAUAAGAGAUUCAAGAAAGAGGGCUCGGAUUAUAGCUAUUCUGUGCACAAAAGAAGUUAGGUGUAAUCUUCUCUUAUUUAAUGAAUCUUAUUUUACCUGCAUAUUUUUUUUCUUUUAUGAUUGUAUCAACUUUUGCUGAGGAGACGGGUUUAUGGUAAAAACCCGAUUCGACACUUCCGUUGCGGAUUCCCAACAAUCGAUACCGGAUCCACAGCAGUCGGUAUCGGAGCGGGUUGCGGAUUCACGAUAUCCGGUAACGGGGCGA